rnacentral:rRNA from 1 species
UACGGAGGGAGCUAGCGUUGUUCGGAAUUACUGGGCGUAAAGCGCACGUAGGCGGCUAUUCAAGUCGGGGGUGAAAGCCCGGGGCUCAACCCCGGAACUGCCCUCGAAACUAGGUAGCUAGAAUCUUGGAGAGGCGAGUGGAAUUCCGAGUGUAGAGGUGAAAUUCGUAGAUAUUCGGAAGAACACCAGUGGCAAAGGCGACUCGCUGGACAAGUAUUGACGCUGAGGUGCGAAAGCGUGGGGAGCAAACAGG